AGCUCCAAUAGCGUAUAUUAAAGUUGUUGCAGUUAAAAAGCUCGUAGUUGGAUUUCUGGUACGAUGCGCCUAGCCCGUCCUCGUCAGAGGCACGUGUGCUGGUGUGCGUCUGCCAUCUUUCUAGAGAGCUGCACUAGCCUUCAUUGGUUUGGUGUUAGUCAUCUAGAUCUUUUACUUUGAAAAAAUUAGAGUGUUUAAAGCAGGCUUUCGCUAUGAAUACAUUAGCAUGGAAUAAUAAUUUAGGACUUUGUUUCUAUUUUGUUGGUUUCUAGAGGCGAAGUAAUGAUUGAUAGGGAUAGUUGGGGGUGCUAGUAUUCAGCGGCCAGAGGUGAAAUUCUUGGAUUCGCUGAAGACUAACUUAUGCGAAAGCAUUCACCAAGGAUGUCUUCU
rnacentral:rRNA from 1 species